UGAAUGCUAUGCAUUUGAAACGGCAUCCUUUUUAUGUUGAAUUUUUUCAGUAUAAAAAGAUACAGUGGAAAGCGCGACCUUUU
rnacentral:sRNA from 1 species